UACGUAGGGUGCGAGCGUUGUCCGGAAUUAUUGGGCGUAAAGAGCUCGUAGGCGGUUUGUCGCGUCGUCCGUGAAAACUCACAGCUUAACUGUGAGCUUGCGGUCGAUACGGGCAGGCUAGAGUUCGGUAGGGGAGACUGGAAUUCCUGGUGUAGCGGUGAAAUGCGCAGAUAUCAGGAGGAACACCGGUGGCGAAGGCGGGUCUCUGGGCCGUUACUGACGCUGAGGAGCGAAAGCGUGGGGAGCGAACAGG
rnacentral:rRNA from 1 species